rnacentral:rRNA from 1 species
UACGGAAGGUCCGGGCGUUAUCCGGAUUUAUUGGGUUUAAAGGGAGCGCAGGCGGCUUUUUAAGCGUGCCGUGAAAUGCCGGGGCUCAACCUUGGAAUUGCGGCGUGAACUGGAAGGCUUGAGUUCGCGGAACGUACGCGGAAUUCGUGGUGUAGCGGUGAAAUGCUUAGAUAUCACGAAGAACCCCGAUUGCGAAGGCAGCGUACGGCAGCGUUACUGACGCUGAGGCUCGAAAGUGCGGGUAUCGAACAGG